AACGAACGCUGGCGGCAGGCCUAACACAUGCAAGUCGAGCGCCCCGCAAGGGGAGCGGCGGACGGGUGAGUAACGCGUGGGAACGUACCUUUUGCUUCGGAAUAGCCUCGGGAAACUGGGAGUAAUACCGAAUGUGCCCUACGGGGGAAAGAUUUAUCGGCAAAAGAUCGGCCCGCGUUGGAUUAGGUAGUUGGUGGGGGAAUGGCCUACCAAGCCGACGAUCCAUGGCUGGUUUGAGAGGAUGAUCAGCCACACUGGGACUGAGACACGGCCCAGCCUCCUACGGGAGGCAGCAGCGGGGAAUCUUAGACAAUGGGCGCAAGCCUGAUCUAGCCAUGCCGCGUGAGCGAUGAAGGCCUUAGGGUUGUAAAGCUCUUUCGUGGGGGAAGAUAAUGACUGUACCCCAAGAAGAAGCCCCGGCUAACUCCGUGCCAGCAGCCGCAGUAA
rnacentral:rRNA from 1 species